UGCAGUCGACGGCAGCACGGGCUUCGGCCUGGUGGCGAGUGGCGAACGGGUGAGUAAUACAUCGGAACGUACCCAGAAGUGGGGGAUAACGUAGCGAAAGUUACGCUAAUACCGCAUACGUUCUACGGAAGAAAGUGGGGGAUCGCAAGACCUCAUGCUUUUGGAGCGGCCGAUGUCUGAUUAGCUAGUUGGUNGGGUAAAGGCNNACCNAGGCGACGAUCAGUAGCUGGUCUGAGAGGACGACCAGCCACACUGGAACUGAGACACGGUCCAGACUCCUACGGGAGGCAGCAGUGGGGAAUUUUGGACAAUGGGCGCAAGCCUGAUCCAGCAAUGCCGCGUGAGUGAAGAAGGCCUUCGGGUUGUAAAGCUCUUUUGUCAGGGAAGAAACGGCNGGGGCUAAUAUCCUCGGCUAAUGACGGUACCUGAAGAAUAAGCACCGGCUAACUACGUGCCAGCAGCCGCGGUAAUACGUAGGGUGCAAGCGUUAAUCGGAAUUACUGGGCGUAAAGCGUGCGCAGGCGGUUUUGUAAGUCUGACGUGAAAGCCCCGGGCUCAACCUGGGAAUUGCGUUGGAGACUGCAAGGCUUGAAUCUGGCAGAG
rnacentral:rRNA from 1 species